rnacentral:rRNA from 1 species
AAUGAACGCUGGCGGCGUGCUUUACACAUGCAAGUCGAGCGAGGCUGGGGAGCAAUCCCCAAGUCGAGCGGCGAACGGGUGAGUGACGCGUGGAUGACCUGCCCUUUAGUGGGGAACAACCAGGGGAAACUCUGGCUAAUACCGCAUAAGACCGGAAGGUGAAAGCGGGCCGCAAGGCUCGCGCUGAAGGAGGGGUCCGCGUCCGAUUAGCUAGUUGGUAGGGUAAUGGCCUACCAAGGCGACGAUCGGUAGCCGGCCUGAGAGGGUGAUCGGCCACACUGGAACUGAGACACGGUCCAGACUCCUACGGGAGGCAGCAGUGGGGAAUUUUGCGCAAUGGGCUAACGCCUGACGCAGCAACGCCGCGUGGAGGAUGAAGGUCUUUGGAUUGUAAACUCCUGUCAGCGGGGAAAAAGCGACUUGGUCUAAUACGCCAGGGAGUUGAUUGUACCCGCAGAGGAAGCCCCGGCUAACUCUGUGC